rnacentral:rRNA from 1 species
UACAGAGGUCUCAAGCGUUGUUCGGAUUCAUUGGGCGUAAAGGGUGCGUAGGUGGCGGGGCAAGUUGGAUGUGAAAUCCUGGGGCUCAACCCUGGAACUGCAUUGAAUACUGGGAGGCUAGAGUACUGGAGAGGAAACUGGAAUUUACGGUGUAGCAGUGAAAUGCGUAGAGAUCGUAAGGAAGACCAGUGGCGAAGGCGAGUUUCUGGACAGUUACUGACGCUGAGGCACGAAGGCCAGGGGAGCAAACGGG